GACGAACGCUGGCGGCGUGCCUAAUACAUGCAAGUUGAGCGAUGAAGCUUGGUGCUUGCACCAAUUUGAAGAGCAGCGAACGGGUGAGUAACGCGUGGGGAAUCUGCUUUUGAGCUGGGGACAACAUUUGGAAACGAAUGCUAAUACCGCAUAAUAACUUUAAACAUAAGUUUUAAGUUUGAAAGAUGCAAUUGCAUCACUCAAAGAUGAUCCCGCGUUGUAUUAGCUAGUUGGUGAGGUAAAGGCUCACCAAGGCGAUGAUACAUAGCCGACCUGAGAGGGUGAUCGGCCACAUUGGGACUGAGACACGGCCCAAACUCCUACGGGAGGCAGCAGUAGGGAAUCUUCGGCAAUGGACGAAAGUCUGACCGAGCAACGCCGCGUGAGUGAAGAAGGUUUUCGGAUCGUAAAACUCUGUUGGUAGAGAAGAACGUUGGUGAGAGUGGAAAGCUCAUCAAGUGACGGUAACUACCCAGAAAGGGACGGCUAACUACGUG
rnacentral:rRNA from 1 species